ACCUUUUCACGGGGUUUCGGCUAAGAUCAAAUGUAGUAUAUACGUUCUUACCAGUUUAAUACCUGAUGCGUGUUCCAUUGGACCACAUGACAUUAAAAUUUUAUUUUUUUCAAUAGCUAAUGCAAGGCCUAGAACCCCCUUGGACAUGAGCCUGUUUAGAAGAGGAGAUUGCUAAGGCCUCUUAUUAGCAAAUGAGU
rnacentral:snRNA from 1 species